rnacentral:rRNA from 1 species
AGUGAACGCUGGCGGUAGGCCUAACACAUGCAAGUCGAACGGCAGCACAGUAAGAGCUUGCUCUUACGGGUGGCGAGUGGCGGACGGGCGAGGAAUACAUCGGAAUCUACUUUUUCGUGGGUGAUAACGUAGGGAAACUUACGCUAAUACCGCAUACGACCUACGGGUGAAAGCAGGGGAUCUUCGGACCUUGCGCGAUUGAAUGAGCCGAUGUCGGAUUAGCUAGUUGGCGGGGUAAAGGCCCACCAAGGCGACGAUCCGUAGCUGGUCUGAGAGGAUGAUCAGCCACACUGGAACUGAGACACGGUCCAGACUCCUACGGGAGGCAGCAGUAGGGAAUAUUGGACAAUGGGCGCAAGCCUGAUCCAGCCAUACCGCGUGGGUGAAGAAGGCCUUCGGGUUGUAAAGCCCUGUUGUUGGGAAAGAAAAGCAGCAGGUUAAUACCGCGCUGUUCUGACGGUACCCUAAGAAUAAGCACCGGCUAACUUCGUG